GAUGAACGCUGGCGGCGUGCCUAAUACAUGCAAGUCGAGCGAACAGACGAGGAGCUUGCUCCUCUGACGUUAGCGGCGGACGGGUGAGUAACACGUGGAUAACCUACCUAUAAGACUGGGAUAACUUCGGGAAACCGGAGCUAAUACCGGAUAAUAUAUUGAACCGCAUGGUUCAAUAGUGAAAGACGGUUUUGCUGUCACUUAUAGAUGGAUCCGCGCCGCAUUAGCUAGUUGGUAAGGUAACGGCUUACCAAGGCACCGAUGCGUAGCCGACCUGAGAGGGUGAUCGGCCACACUGGAACUGAGACACGGUCCUGACUCCUACGGGAGGCAGCAGUAGGGAAUCUUCGGCAAUGGGCGAAAGCUUGACGGAGCAACGCCGCGUGAGUGAUGAAGGUCUUCGGAUCGUAAAACUCUGUUAUUAGGGAAGAACAAAUGUGUAAGUAACUAUGCACGUCUUGACGGUACCUAAUCAGAAAGCCACGGCUAACUACGUG
rnacentral:rRNA from 1 species